rnacentral:rRNA from 1 species
AUUCUCGAAAAUAUAAGAUUUAUAAAAAUUUCAAAGUCUUUGUAGCAACAAGGUUUUAUAAAUUUUUAUAGGUGUGAAAUGCUAAUCGUUUAUAUUAAUAUCUAGUAACUUUUGAAUAAAAUUUAGUUUAGGAUGCUUGGGAUUUAUUAAUUAUAUUGCAUUUGUAGCUCUUAGGGGAUGAGCUCUUAGGGUAGUUUAUAAAGGUUAAAUUUUCUACAUUUUUUUUAGGCUUAGAAUUAGCCAUAGUAUUUUGUUAUAAAAAAUAAUUUUUAGUGUAAGAUUUUUUAUUUUUUAAUUUUUUAAAAGGUUAAAUUAGAAAUAUUUGUAUAUUUGAAAAUAUGAUAAUAUUAGUAGAAAUGUAUUUAAAAUAAUGUUAGUAUUUAUUAAUUUGUUUAUAUAUAAUAUAAGAACUCGGCAAAUUGGAUUUCCGAAUGUUUAACAAAAACAUUUCUUCCUUGUUUUGGAGGUAAGGCCUGCUCACUGAUUGUUUUAAGAGCCGCAGUAUUUUGACUGUGCUAAGGUAGCAUAAUCAUUAGUCUUUUAAUUGGAGACUGGUAUGAAUGGUUAAACGAGAAAUCAACUUUUUUUAUUGUAUAGAAUCUAAUUUAUUUUUUUAGUGAAAAAACUAAAAUGGGCCUAAAAGACGAGAAGACCCUAUAGAGUUUUAUACAUUAUCAAGUUUUAUUAUAGUUGAUUUAGUUUAGUAAAUAUUGUGUUUGUAAUUAGUUGGGGCGACGUUAAGAUAAAAGAAACUCUUUUUUGUAUAAACUUUUAUUAAAGAUAUAAGUUUGAUCCUCCAAGAGGGAUUAAAGGAAAAAAUUACCUUAGGGAUAACAGCGUAAUCUUUUUUGAGAGUUCAAAUCGACAAAAAGGUUUGCGACCU